rnacentral:rRNA from 1 species
GACGAACGCUGGCGGCGUGCCUAAUACAUGCAAGUAGAACGCUGAAGAGAGGAGCUUGCUCUUCUUGGAUGAGUUGCGAACGGGUGAGUAACGCGUAGGUAACCUGCCUUGUAGCGGGGGAUAACUAUUGGAAACGAUAGCUAAUACCGCAUAACAAUGGAUGACACAUGUCAUUUAUUUGAAAGGGGCAAUUGCUCCACUACAAGAUGGACCUGCGUUGUAUUAGCUAGUAGGUGAGGUAAUGGCUCACCUAGGCGACGAUACAUAGCCGACCUGAGAGGGGGAUCGGCGACACUGGGAGGGAGACACGGCCCAGACGCCUACGGGAGGCAGCAGUAGGGAAUCUUCGGCAAUGGGGGCAACCCUGACCGAGCAACGCCGCGUGAGUGAAGAAGGUUUUCGGAUCGUAAAGAUCUGUUGUAAGUCAAGAACGGGUGUGAGAGUGGAAAGUUCACACUGUGACGGUAGCUUAACAGAAAGGGACGGCUAACUACGUG